rnacentral:rRNA from 1 species
CCUACGGGUGGCAGCAGUGGGGAAUAUUGGACAAUGGGCGAAAGCCUGAUCCAGCCAUGCCGCGUGUGUGAAGAAGGCCUUCGGGUUGUAAAGCACUUUCAGUGGGGAAGAAAGCCUUGGGGCUAAUACCCUCGAGGAAGGACAUCACCCACAGAAGAAGCACCGGCUAACUCCGUGCCAGCAGCCGCGGUAAUACGGAGGGUGCGAGCGUUAAUCGGAAUUACUGGGCGUAAAGCGCGCGUAGGCGGUCUGAUAAGCCGGUUGUGAAAGCCCCGGGCUCAACCUGGGAACGGCAUCCGGAACUGUCAGGCUAGAGUGCAGGAGAGGAAGGUAGAAUUCCCGGUGUAGCGGUGAAAUGCGUAGAGAUCGGGAGGAAUACCAGUGGCGAAGGCGGCCUUCUGGACUGACACUGACGCUGAGGUGCGAAAGCGUGGGUAGCAAACAGGAUUAGAUACCCUGGAGUC